CCCUGCGAUGAAAGAAGCAGGACAGUGGAACAUAUGUAUUGAGUUUUUGUCGACUUCAAAUUUUGACCUUUAGUUAAGCGUGCUUGGGCGAGAGUAGUACUAGGAUGGGUGACCUCCCGGAAAGUCCUCGUGUUGCAUCUC
rnacentral:rRNA from 1 species